AUUGAACGCUGGCGGCAGGCUUAACACAUGCAAGUCGAACGGUAACGGGAAGGAAGCUUGCUUUCUUUGCUGACGAGUGGCGGACGGGUGAGUAAUGCUUGGGAAUCUGUUUUAUGGAGGGGGAUAACUACGGGAAACUGUAGCUAAUACCGCGUAAUAUCGAGAGAUUAAAGUGUGGGACCGCAAGGCCACAUGCCAUGAAGUGAGCCCAAGUGGGAUUAGGUAGCUGGUGGGGUAAAGGCCUACCAAGCCGUCGAUCUCUAGCUGGUCUGAGAGGAUGACCAGCCACACUGGGACUGAGACACGGCCCAGACUCCUACGGGAGGCAGCAGUGGGGAAUAUUGCACAAUGGGCGCAAGCCUGAUGCAGCCAUGCCGCGUGAAUGAAGAAGGCCUUCGGGUUGUAAAGUUCUUUCGGUGGUGAGGAAGGUUGGCGUGUUAAUAGCACGUUGAUUUGACGUUAGCCACAGAAGAAGCACCGGCUAACUCCGUGCCAGCAGCCGCGGUAAUACGGAGGGUGCGAGCGUUAAUCGGAAUAACUGGGCGUAAAGGGCACGCAGGCGGAUACUUAAGUGAGGUGUGAAAGCCCUGGGCUUAACCUAGGAAUUGCAUUUCAUACUGGGUAUCUAGAGUAUUUUAGGGAGGGGUAGAAUUCCACGUGUAGCGGUGAAAUGCGUAGAGAUGUGGAGGAAUACCGAAGGCGAAGGCAGCCCCUUGGGGGAAUACUGACGCUCAUGUGCGAAAGCGUGGGGAGCAAACAGG
rnacentral:rRNA from 1 species